CCAGCACAGACCUGUUUUAAUUUAAUUCUGCAUGUAUUGAGUUCUCAACACGUAACUUAGAAUUUGCAAUGUCAUCCUCACAGUUGUACAGAAGUGACAACACUGUUGAUCGCCAUCUCUACAAUUCAGAUAAAAUGAACAGAAAGAAUGGGCCUGUCUCCAGCUCCACCAUUAGACGGAGGGUCCGUCAAGAUGUUUUGACUACAUCACUGUGAUUGAUGGGAAACUGAAUACAACUUUGACUGAUGUUCCACUUCAUAGAAUUGUUGAC